UACGUAGGGAGCGAGCGUUGUCCGGAAUGAUUGGGCGUAAAGGGCGUGUAGGCAGCCUGUUAAGUCUGAAGUGAAAUCCCUGGUUUCAAGUCAGGGUCUGCUUUGGAAACUGGCGGGCUUGAGUGCAGGAGAGGCUAUCGGAAUUCCCGGUGUAGCGGUGAAAUGCGUAGAGAUCGGGAGGAACACCAGUGGCGAAGGCGGGUAGCUGGACUGUAACUGACGCUGAGGCGCGAAAGUGUGGGGAGCAAAC
rnacentral:rRNA from 1 species